rnacentral:rRNA from 1 species
UACGUAGGGUGCAAGCGUUGUCCGGAAUUAUUGGGCGUAAAGAGCUCGUAGGCGGUCUGUCGCGUCUGCUGUGAAAACUCGGGGCUUAACCCCGGGCCUGCAGUGGGUACGGGCAGACUAGAGUGCGGUAGGGGAGACUGGAAUUCCUGGUGUAGCGGUGAAAUGCGCAGAUAUCAGGAGGAACACCGGUGGCGAAGGCGGCGUCCUGGACCAACACUGACACUGAGGAGCGAAAGCCAGGGGAGCAAACGGG